ACUUUAAUAUAAGAAAAUAGUAUGAAAUGAAAGUACUAAAGAAGCCAAACAAGGGUUGACAAGGCAGCUUGGAUUGGUGAAAACAGGGAACUACUCCACCUCUAGGGGAUCAAUGUGAAGAUGUUUCCAGCAAAAUGUAGGACCAUGAAGGCAGAGGUAGGAUCAUGGGGGAGAGAAACACAGAGGAGAUACAAUAAUUGCCAGAGACAACUGGUCACUGAAGGAAGAAGAGACAGAGAGAGAUUUUCUGAUUCACUGUCUCCUUCUUUCUAGUCUCUUAUCAACGCCUCUUAGGAAGACAUUUGAUAAGGGAACUUGGGAUAUGGAGUUCUCAGACAGAGUGGAGAGAAUGCGUAAAGACAGAAUAGACCUGGGACCUCACAGGCAAAUAAUCUGGGACAUAGUAGUAUUGUAGAACAGGAAAAUAUGUAAAAGAACUAAUUUCAAUAAACUGUAGUUAAGUGCAACAAAGGACAAUGCUCAGACUCUUUGAAAACAUAUAGGAGGACCACCAAGUAAUGCUUUGUCAAUGAUGAGUCAUUCAUGGUAGGUUUCACAGAGGUGGUUACAACUUGUUGAAUCCUGUAGUAUAGGAAACAAAAGGAAGCAAAAGGAGGGAGGUGAGAACAGGGAAAGCUGAUGAUGGAUGAAAGUUGUUCCAGGCAGAAGGAUCUGCAAAUAACAGAACUUGAAAAAAAAAAUGUAUGACAAUAAUUUUGGAGAUCAGAGAGGACUGAAAAUGUAUGGGAAAAGAAGAAUCAAUAUAUAGUUUAUCAAGUGUGGAGUUUACCUAGAAAACAAUAGUGAGUCAUCAAGAAUUUAAGAAAUAUGAGAUAUUAGGUUUAAAUAUUGGCAAGAUGUCAAAUAAUAUGAGAGAGGAGUAAAAUCCAUUCUGACUUAUUGGGUCUUUUUUUUCCUUCCUUUCUUUUAGAUAUACAUGAUUUUAAUGUAAUUUAUUUUCAUUAUUCAAGAAAAAUAAUUUCUCUUAAUUAGAGAUUAUUUGAUGGAAAAGAAAGUAGAAGAAAUUGUAUAUGAGGAAGAACGGUGUUAACUCUUAGCUUUUUCUUUUUUGCCCACCUUUUGGCCAUUAAUUCUAGGAGUCAUUGGAGCUCUGCUUAUACAGGAAAGUAUAUAACCACAGACAUAGAAUUAUCUUCACAAAUAUGGCUGUUUGUAAAUUUGAGAAUACGUUUUGCAUAUAUGAUGUACCUGUAUGUGAGAGAGAGCAUGAGAGCAAUAGUACACUUACACAUACCAGUACAAAUACUGAAUUGUGAGCUUUCUGAGCAUCCUUAUAAAUUAUUAAAACAAUACAAAAAUUAAAAUGUUAGUAUUUAAUCAGGCAAAUACCAAGUCCUUGCAUAUGCAAUAGUGCAGAAUAUUAGGCUAUAGAUACAAUAAUAAAGGAUCUAGAUUUUAAAGGCUUAUUUCUCCUUCUCCAAAUGAGUUUUAAAUUUUCUUGGAAUAUGGAGCACUCCUAGACGAGAAAGACAAAAAUCAAAUAGACUUUGGUUUAGGAAGGCACAAUUGGGAUUGUAGUUACCAUAGCAACCUGAACAAUGUCUCUAUAUCUAAAAUACACUUUUAUAAACAGUUUUUAUCCACAUCUGGAUCAUUCAGGAUGGGCAUACAUUAAGAUUAUCGAAAUUUGCUUUAUAGCAUUAGAUCACUCACUGUUACAACAGAAAUGACCUAAUGCCCUUUACAAAUGACGAAAAGAAACAUUUCUAAAAUUAAAUUAGCUACUCUAGAUUCCAAGACAGAAUGCAAUGAAUUUCUCUGAAAUAUGAAACAUCCAUUAUUUUCCUUUCUUGAUCAUCAUGUUAGUACGUUCUUUAUCUCCCUUUUCAUAGGGGGAAAGAGCUAAUCCUGUUACAGUUCAUUUUAUAUUGAUUCAUUUUCCAAACCAUUUUUAGUUGAGUAUAAUAUUUUUCUUUUAAAAUACUAUUAUGUUUUGUUCUUAUUAUAGAGCUUUACAUUUUUGUUGUAUACAAUUCAGAAAAUGCAAGAAAGUGUAUAGGAGAUAAUAAAACUCCUUUUAUCUUAUCACCCAUGUAGUAAUCUCGAAUGUAAAUUUAAUGCAAGUUUCUGCAUUUAUAUGAGUGUAGGUUUUGUGCAUAUGUAGAAAAAUGUAUAGACAUUGUGCAUCUUUGCUUUUUCUUUUAUAAGGUUUGCAUCACAAUGCCUAUCAGUUAAUAUCUUAUUGUGAUCAUUUCCCUAAUGACACUCUAAUUCUUUAAAACUUUAUUUUUAUGAUUUCCUAAGAUUCAGUCAUCUAAAUGGAGUGUAAUUUGUUCAUCAUCUCCCUGUCAGUGGACAUAUAUAUUAUUUAAAUACUUUGGGAUCAUUAUAUAGAGCCCUUCUGCAUAAUCUUUGAGUAUAUAUUUUAAGUUUUAGAAGUAGAAUUACUGAAUUACUCCUUUUAUUGUGGUGUUAAAACAUAAUCAUUAUUUUCCAUCUGUCACUCUUUGCUAACUACUCUUGGUUUCAACUCACCUAGGUCCUAUGACUUUUCUGGUCAAUUCUUUUCCAGGAUGCAACUAAGAAAUUCUUCCAAACAACUGGUAGAUGAGGUCACAGCCAGAGCUAUGUAACUUUGAUUGUUCCAGAUAACUUCUUACUGUGUCUUCCUAUUAAAAUACAUGGAUUUCCUCAACUUCUGUCUAGAUUAGUCUAAGCCAUCUCAAAUUAUACAUUCCAAGGUUAAUCUAAAAAAUGAGAAAAGGUAUCUGAGACAAUCUGGUAAAUGCAUCUCCAGGCCAUUUCUGUUACUUCUAGACAUUAUCUAAAUAGAAACCUUCCCAUUUUUUCCAUAGCGAGAGACUCAUAUAAAAGGCAUAAUCUUAGAAUCAUACAGCUGGAAGAGCAUGGAAUCAGGACUCUAAAGAUUGAUGGGACCCAUUUUAUUAGAACUAAUCUCCAAGGAAUAAAAUAUCUGGAUUCUUGUGAAAGUCCUUUGUAACUGUUUAAUAAGUCUUCUUCCCUGAAGUUCUCCCUUUAAGAUAAAACUUUAGUAUUCCUUUUAUAGAUUAAAAGUAUAAUCUUCUCCUUUUGUCUUCAGUAUUAAUGAGAGAAUUUGGGAACAUUUUGGAUAAAAAAAUUAUUAUAAACAUGGAGACAUUUAUGUAGAUGGUCAUAUGGUUUUUUAAAUCUAUGUAGGCUAAAUUUUAUGGAGUAUCUGAAAUUUGUUCAAGCUAGUUUUUUAGCAUAGCAAGGCUAGAUUAAUUUUAGCCAGUUUGAUUUUAUUUCCUUAUUUUUUGGCUGUAGUUGCAGCAUGUGGAAUAUCCUGGGCCAGAGACUGAACCCAUGCCCCCGGAGUGACCCAAGCUUCAUUGAUAAUACUGAAUCCUUAACUUACUGUUGCCAUGGAGAACUCUCAGUUUGCUUUUGGAGACGAUAUUUCCACAUGAAUUUAAGCCUUUAAUUUUUUACCGUUUAAGAUCUUACAUUUUAAAUCUAUAAAAUCAAAUCUAUAUCCUUAAAUGAUGAGUGUCCUUUCUCUCAUUUCAUCCCUACCCACUUAAAAGAUGCAAAAAUAAUGCAUAGAGUCGAUGUUUGUUGGUAAUUGUGCCUUUAGUGUUGUCGCUUGUGUUCUAAAUCUCUAUAUUAGAGCAAGGAGUUCCCAUUGUGUCUCAGGGGUAAUGAACACAACUAGUAUCCAUGAAGAUAUCCUUAACCCACUGAGCUAGGCCAGGGAUCGAACCUGCAUCCUCAUGGAUACUAGUCAGAUUUGUUUCCAAUGAGCCAUGAUGGGAAUUCCCUGAGGUAAAUUCUUGAGUUGACUAUUUGAUUGUACCUCAUUACUUACAGCAAUGUGUUUUCUUUACUAGACCUACUCAUUCAGGAGCCUACCCAUGUCCUCUGUGUGCCAGUGCUUGAGAAGAAAGCAAAACUGAUUUCUGUCUUCAUGAUCAUGGGUGGUGCUUUUAAGAGAGCAUAUGAGUGGAAAGAUAGGGGUAAAAUGUUGGUUAUGUUAGCAGGUGAAAGGUAAGGGGUCUAGACAUUGGAGGAGACAUUUCCAGCCUGAGAGGUGAAAGCUCAGAGAGGAAUCUUCCAUGAUAUGAAAACGUGCUGCUGAAGCACCAUCAUUGUAUGUUGGUAGAUGACUUAGAAUGGAUUUGGACUAGAGGAGGAAGGGACCUUGGCGGCCAUCACAAAGCAUAUGGAUUAUCAAUGAAGUGCAGUGAGAAGCCUUAUGAACUCUUUACAUUAAAUUUCUUAUGUUCAGAUUUGAGUGAUAUUAACUUGGGAAAAGGUAUUUUAACAUAUAUUUCAAUAAAAAUAAAGAUCACUAAUUUUAAAAUAGAAUAACAGCAAUGAGAGCAAAAACUUGUUAGUUUACUACUGUUUUAGUAAAUUCUAGAAAAAGCCUUUGACUACACUCUGCCUUAGUUCUCAACUCUACCAUAGUCCUGCCACAGGAUUCCUGAGUGUGAUAUAUACACCCCCAUUGAUUUUUACUUGGGAAUUACCAUAGAAGCUGAAUUAGCCAUGAUUGUUGUGGCAGAGAUGGUAGCAUUCAAGAGCUCUCUUCAUCUUUCUUUACAUUUUUCAGUCUCUCUUGAUAGGAUAUGUAGUUCAUAGUAGGUUAGGUUUAGUAGUUCAUUAUGAUACAUGAGUUCUAUGUAGAAAUGGCACGUGCUAUCUGUGGAUCAAGUUAAGAGUGUUCCAUACCUUCUUCUUCCAUUUUGUGACCCUGGAGGCAAGGUGCUGAUAGGAUAGAUUUCUAAGUUUGUGCAUCUUUCAGCAGUCUAGGCCCUUGAAUGUCUCUGUGAGCACAAUGCACCGCCCUCACCGCCAUUUGACAAGCAUGGUAUGUGUAGUGUAAAAAAUCAAACCUUGUUGCAUUAAAUCACUGCAAAUUUGGGGUUAGGUUUUUACUAUAUAGCUCAUCUAAAAUGUGUGUUGUGCCUUAAUGUCUCUAAGAAGGAAAGAAGACCAAAGACCUCCUUUUUUAUAGGUACCAGAAGUAAAA
rnacentral:lncRNA from 1 species